rnacentral:sRNA from 1 species
ACCAAAACUUGUGAUUAAUACUUAGAGUCCGAAUGGUAACCGCGGUUUUUGUUGUGCGGGGAAAGCGUUAUUGUAGUGCGGUACGGUUCAAUUACGGUACGUGUGGAAGAAAUAUAUUUGCGGGACAAGUGCGGUUUGUACAAAAUAAGCGGUAUAUAAUAAUGUUUGAUUCGUGAAAAAAACUAUUUGUGGUACGGAUUAUAGAUUAUAUAUAUUA